GCUGGGUGUGGUGGCUCACACCUGUAAUCCCAGCACUUUGGGGAGCUGAGGCAGGUGGAUCACUUGAGGUCAGGAGUUUGAGACCAUCCUGGCCAAUAUGGUGAAAUCCUGUCUCUU
ensembl:misc_RNA Metazoa_SRP Metazoan signal recognition particle RNA